rnacentral:lncRNA from 1 species
UAUUCUUAUUUAUUUAUUUAUUUAUUUAUUUAUUUUGGUUUUUCAGUGACAGAGUUUCUCCGUGUAGACCAGGCUGGCCUUGAACUUACAGAGAACCAACCACCUGUCUCUUGGUUCUUCCUGUACAUUCGGAACCCAGCAUCCUGGGCGUCGUGGGCUCUGACUAUUGAUAAUAAGCCGUUGUUCUGUAAAAAUCCACAAACUGCAGGGUAGAUUUUAGCACUGCUCUGUCUCACUCUGCUCCAGGCAGUGUUCUCAAGGUCUCUUCUACCCUCUCCUCACAGAGAAUCCUCACAAGCUCGUAUUCCUAACAGAAAGAGGGGCUAUGUUGUUUUUUACUUCAGGAAUCUUUUAACGAGCACAAUUUCUAACCACAGGAAUUAUUGGUUUUUCUGAGACAGAAUCUCACUAUGUAGCUCUGAUGGGACUUACUACAUUAGGCCAGGCUGGCCUUGAACUCACUGGGAUCUACUUGCCUCUGCCUCUGGAGUGCUGGCAUUACAGGUGUGUGCCACCAAGCCUGGCUGUAAUCACAGAAAGUAUAAGGGCAUAUCACAGCUAAGAUAUGAAACACGACUUGCCUCUACAACAAAGAAGCCUUCUGUACUAACCAGGGAAACCAUUGAGAUGGCUCAGCGGGUUAUAGGCUGCCAAGCCUGAGGGUCUGAGUUCAAACCUCGGGACCCACAUGGUGGAAGGAGAAAACCGACUCUCUGCAAGUUGUCCUCUGACCUCUAUACACAUUCUCUGGCACAUGCGCACCCCGCCCCCCCCCCCCACUGACAUACAAGGAAAACAGCAGUUUAGUCACCUGCCAGGGGUGGUCCCGCAAGCCCCGAGAUGCUCUGAAUGAAGACAUAGACUCCAGCUGCAGAUGACAUCUUCUCGAUCCCAACGACGUCAUCCUCUGCCAACAUCGGGAUGUGGGUCCCUCCUAUGGUCCCAACCAUGCUGCCAAAGAACACGCUACACAGCAUGAGGCCCCAGAACUCGGUAGCGAAAGUGAAGGCGAACAGAGACGCCGUCAGUAAAAUGACGCAGAUGAGUUCGAUGUAGAUCUUGCGAAUGGGCUCCCUGUUGAGGACAAACCCAGCCCCGAUCCUUCCGAACACUUCCGCAAUGGCCAUCGUCGACAGCAAAAACGCAGCGCGGUCAGGGUCAAUGCCUAGACUGAUACCCAAAGGAAUGAUGUAGAGGGAAGGCGCAAAGAAGCCCAGGGUGGCGAAGAGGCCGAACAAAGCGUAACAAAUGAAGCUUUUCUCUUUCAAGACGGAGAAGUCCAACAGCGGGGCUUUCAUCUGGCUGUGCUUGGGGGCAGUCACCAGGGUCUGCUGUUGCUCAGCCCUGGUUUCCUGCUCCAUCUUCGCUUCGCUAGGCACAUUUUUUGGUGAGGUAGUUAGUUCUACUCCUGAGUCGAUGGAGUCUAUUGAGGUCCGUGUUUUCUCGUUUUCAAGCAUGUACUGAACUUCUCUGCGGGGCUCCAGAGUGACUGCUUUCGGUGAUUGCCCCGGCCCUUGGAUAAUAAUUGGUCUUAGCAAGGCGCCGCAGACCAUGAUGUUCAGCUGCAGAAGGCCCACGAAGAGGAGGCUGUAUCUCCAGCCAAUAUGCUCCUUCAGAGCUGUGAUAGCUUGAAGAGACAGAAGCAAGGGGGAAAAAAAAUUCAAGGUCAAAGAACUGACUCCAGAUCCAGCAGACAAUAGCCAGGAGAAAUGUGGAUAAAGUUUUAGUGAUAAAUUCUGCUCAAAGUUAGGGCGAAUGCAGACAUCCUAGACUGUACUUUGGGUGGGGUAAGAAGAAGGGGGGUGACUAGACAUAUACUUGCAUCCAGAGGCCAGAGGUCAAUGCUGGGUGUCUUUCUUGACCGUUGUCUUGUUUUGAAUGGAGUGAUGGAGAUUAAAUUUAAGGCUUUUCUACCACAGAGCUACAACUCCAGCCUUUAGAAACAGACUUUCUCAUUGAAUCUGGAAUUGGCAAGAUUGGCUGGUCCCCGGGCCCCACCUGUCCCCACCUCCCUAGUACUGGGAAUCCAGGCACGUGCCACCAUACCCAGCUUCUUACACGGCUGCUGAAACUCAGGCCCUCACGUUUGUGCCACGUGGAGAUGCCUCCCCAUCCCCAUACACUAUCCUUUAUUCUGAUUUCUGGUGCAUUUUAUAAAUGAGUUAUAAAAAAGUGCACUUAUUACUAUAUAUGCUAUAAAAAAAAACUGUCAGCCCAGCUUUCCAAAAGAGCUUUGGGCAGUGGGAUUUUCCAGGCAGAGGCCUAAGAAUGGAAGAUCUGUCUAUAACCCACAUCAAGGCUCGACAAACAAUAGCCCACAGGCCAAAUCUGAACCACUGAAUAAAACUGGACUGGACUGGACUGGUUUGUGCGCUCAUAGAGUCUGCGGAUGCUUUUGUGCUGAGACAGCAGAAUUGAAUAGUUCUAAUACACGUAUAAUUCCCAAAGCUGAAAGGAUCCCCAGGGCCAAGGACAUAUUAGUGGUAGAACACCUGCAUGCAGCAGGCCCUGGAUACCAGGAGGCUCAGAUACCAUGAAAAUACAAUAAAUAUUUUUUUUAUUACUAUUUGACCUCUUAUAAAAGUAAUUUACUCAACUCCGAACUGUACCACCCUGCAUCCUACUCAUUCAACUUUUGUAAUGAAAAGUAACUAAAAACCCAAGUAAGAGGCAGUCGCUUAAGAGCCUCACCGUGAAGCCUCGCCUGCCUUUCUGGGCUCUGAAGCGUAUCGUUUCCGUUGGCCUGCCUCUUUCUUUGGACACCAACCUAAGUCCCUAAGCAUGUUUGCUUUGACACCGCACGCUUUCUCACUGUGCCCCAUGGACUGUCCACCCUGCCUACAGAUGCUUGCAGGUCUCCACUGUGAACCUUAACUCAAAAGACAUGUGUUUCUUAUCCUAGCAUUACAGGAUAUGGUGCUCCAGUUUCUACCUGAGUAUGUCCUUAGCAACCUGGGCUCUUGCCUCUCUCACUGUGAACCCAGGGCGGAGGCUGCUGACCAGAAGUAGCUCAGAGAGAGAUGGAGAGCAAGCGCCUCCAUCGUUAACAGUAAAAUUAUACACCCCACCUCCUUAAAAAAACAAAACCCCAAAAAACCAAACCACUUUACUUUGAGAUCUUACUAAUUCUUAUUUUAUGUUUUUUAAAGCAUGAGAACGUUUGCUUGCAUGUAUAUCUAUGUAACCACGUGUAUGCAGCGCCCUCAGAGGCUAGAAGAGAGCACCAGCUCCCUCAGGUGCUGGGAAUUGAACGUGGGUCUUCUUUCUGCAGGAGCAGUCAUCACUCUUAACUACAGCUAUGUGUCCAGCUCCUCAUGUAACAUUCCUUAAGUAUGAACCAAGUGCCAGGAAUGGUGCCUAGUGCCAGCUCAGGGCACUCACUGUUCACGGACUCUUUGUGUCAAGAUUUUUUUUUUUAAAGAAAUGGAGAGAUGGCUCAGUGGUUAAGGGCACUGACUGCUUUUCCAGAGGUCCUGCGUUCAAUUCCCAGUAACCACAAAGUAGCUCACAACCAUCUGGAUUGGGAUCUGAUGACCUCUUCUGGUGUGUCUGGGGACAGCGAUAGUGUAUUCACAUACGUAAAAUAAAUAAGUAAAAAUUAAAAAAAAAAAAAGGAAAGAAAUGGAAAUGG